GCACUGGCGGCGUGACCCGGAAGGGAGCCUCGGAGGAGGCGGGGCCAGCACUGCGGGACCGGCGCCGGGCUCCAGCGAGGGCCGAGCCGGGAGGUGGGAGUGCCUCUGUCUCUCUCCUGUGUGUCCCAGGAAGUCAGGAUGGUGGGAGAACGGCGCACUGGGGACCUCAUGGUGCCCUUGGGGCCCCGGCUGCAGGCAUAUCCCGAAGAGCUUCUUCGACAGCGGCCUGGACAGGAUGGGCAUCCUGAAUACCUGAUCCGAUGGAGUGUCCUGAAGUGUGGGGAAGUGGGCAGAGCGGGUGUGGAGGAGGGCAAGGCAGAGCACAUCCUCAUGUGGCUGUCAGCCCCCGAGGUCUAUGCCAGCUGCCCCAUGCUGUUAGGGGAGCGGGCGUUAUCUAAGGGACCUCAGCACGAGACAGCUGGGGGUUCAGCAAGCUUUCCCGGAGACCCAGGCAGUCUGGAUGAUGUGGCCAUGGGAGAGAUGGAGGCAGACGUGCGAGCACUGGUGCGCAGGGCUGCCCGGCAGCUGGCAGAAGGUGGGACCUCGAGCCUCACAGCCGCUGUGCUCCACACCAUCCACGUGCUCAGCGCCUAUGCCAGCAUCGGGCCCCUCACCGGGGUCUUCAGGGAGACGGGCGCCCUGGACCUACUCAUGCACAUGCUGUGCAACCCUGAGCCUCAGAUCCGUCGGAGUGCCGGCAAGAUGCUGCAGGCCCUAGCAGCCCACGAUGCUGGGAGUCGGGCUCACGUCCUUCUGUCCCUGAGCCAACAAGACGGCAUCGAGCAGCACAUGGAUUUUGACAGCCGCUAUACUUUGCUGGAACUGUUCGCAGAGACCACGUCUUCCGAGGAGCAUUGCAUGGCCUUUGAGGGCAUUCACCUGCCUCAGAUCCCAGGAAAACUGCUUUUCUCCCUGGUGAAACGCUACCUGUGUGUCACUUCCCUGCUGGAUCAGCUGAAUAACAGUCCAGAGCAGGGGGCCGGAGACCAAGGCUCCCCAGCCUCGAGGGAGGAUUUGGGCCGAGAGAAGAGCCGGGGGCAGCGGGAGCUGGAGUUCAGUAUGGCUGUGGGCAACCUUAUCUCGGAGCUGGUGCGGAGCAUGGGCUGGGCCCAGAACCUCAGCCAACAGGGCACGUUGCCACCCCGGCCGACCCGGUCCAUCUUUCAGCCCAGCAUUUCAGGCCCCAGCCUUUUACUCCCCACCAUUGUUGCGACCCCAAGGAGGCAAGGGCGGGCCUUCCGCCAGCGCGCUGAAUUCUCCAGCCUUAGUGGCUACGGUGAGUACGUGCAGCAGGCCCUGCAGCCGGGCAUGCGCGUGCGGAUGCUGGAUGACUACGAGGAGAUCAGCGCGGGCGAUGAGGGCGAGUUCCGGCAGAGCAACAAUGGCGUGCCCCCUGUGCAGGUCUUCUGGAGGUCGACGGGCCGCACCUACUGGGUGCACUGGCACAUGCUGGAGAUCCUGGGUCCCGAGGAGACUGCCGAGGACACGUCUUCAGCAGCUGCAGAGGAGGGGGCGGGGGCUGCCGUGCCGGGCACAGCACUCCCCUCCUGGGACUGGAAGCCGGUGGAUGGGCUCUACUCUUUGCCAUACCUCCAGCCCGAGCCUCAGAAGAACGAGAGACUGGGCUACCUGACCCAGGCUGAGUGGUGGGAGCUGCUCUUCUUCAUCAGGAAGUUGGACAUAUGUGAGCAGCAGUCAAUUUACCAGAGUCUUCGGGAGAACCUGGAUGAGAGCCUGGGUAAGAAGGCCCUGGGUGAAAUCUCUGUGCCCGUGACCAUGGCAGAGAGUCUACUACAGGUUCUCAGGGAUCGGUUUGAGGGCAGCACCCUCAGCGACCUGCUCAACUCCCAGAUCUACACCAAGUACAGGCUGCAGCCCGACGCUCUGAGUGGCUCGUCAUCUUCACAAAAUCACUCCAGUACCCCAGAUCCUGAAGAGGAGUCAAAGUCAGAGGCCACCUUCUCAGAGGAGGAGACUGAGUCCCCCAAAGUGAAGGCUGAGCCCCCCAAGGCAGAGGCGGAGCCGGUCAAGGGAAAAACCGAGCCGCCCAUGGCACAGAGCGAUUCACAGCUGUUCAACCAGCUUCUGGUGACUGAGGGGAUGGCUCUCCCCUCCGGGAUGAAGGAGGCAGCCAGUGAAAUGAUUAGAGCCUUGCGGGGUCCUGGGCCACGCAGCUCCCUGGACCAGUACGUGGCAGCGGUCGUGGCCACUGUGCAGAUCUCCAGCGUGGACACCAGCCUGCAGCUCUCAGCGCUCUGUGCUCUCUCCCAGGCCGUGGAGGAGGUCACAGAGCGAGACCACCCUCUGGUCCAUCCUGACAGAUUCCUGAGGGAGAAGCUGGUGAAGACGCUGGUGGAGCUGCUGACCAACCAGGUGGGAGAGAAGAUGGUGGUGGUGCUGGCUCUGCGGCUUCUUUACCUGCUCAUGACCAAGCACGAGUGGCGCCCGCUCUUUGCCAGGGAAGGCGGCAUCUACGCCGUGCUGGUCUGCAUGCAAGAAUACAAGACCUCCGUCCUGGUGCAGCAGGCGGGGCUGGCAGCGCUGAAGAUGCUGGCCAUUGCCAGCUCCUCGGAGAUCCCCACAUUUGUCACCGGCCAAGAUUCUGUUCAUCCUUUGUUUGACGCCCAGAUGACCAGGGAGAUCUUCGCCAGCAUUGACUCAGCCACCCGCCCGGACUCCGAGAGCCUGCUCCUCACUCUCCCUGCUGCUGUGAUCCUGAUGCUGAACACAGAGGGGUGCUCCUCCGCGGUGAGAAACGGCCUCCUCCUGCUCAAUCUGCUUUUGUGCAACCACCACACGCUGGGAGACCAGAUCAUCACCCGCGAGCUGAGAGACACCUUGUUUAGACACUCGGGCAUAGCACCGGGGACAGAACCCAUGCCCACCACCCGCACCAUCCUCAUGAUGCUUCUCAAUCGCUACUCGAAGCCGCCUGGCAGCCCCGAGCACUCAGCAGCGCCAGAGACCCCCAGCACCCAGGGCCAGGAGGGGAACCCUGAGCUGCUGAUCCGAUCCCUGGUGGGGGGCCCGUCUGCAGAACUCCUCCUGGACUUGGAGCGCGUGCUAUGCCGAGAAGGUGGCCUGGGGGGCGCUGUGAGGCCCCUCCUCAAGCGCCUCCAGCAGGAGAGCCAGCCCUUCCUCCUGUUCCUGUGGACUCUGGACGCCCCCGGGCCCAAUAAAACCCUGCUGCUGACGGCGCUGAGGGUCAUGACCCAGCUGCUGGAUCACGCUGAGGCCAUGGUCCUCCCCUGGCACGAGGUCUUGGAGCCCUGCCUCAACUGUCUGAAUGGCCCCGGCAGUGACUCUGAGAUUGUUCAGGAGCUGCUAUGCUUCCUGUAUCGCCUGGCCUCCACGCACAAGGACUACGCGGUGGUGCUCUGCUGCCUGGGAGCCAAAGACGCCCUCACCAAGGUCCUGGAGAAGCACUCGGCUCAGCUGCUGCUGGCCUGUGAGCUGCGGGACCUGGUGACGGAAUGUGAGAAGCACGCCCAGCUCUACAGUAACCUCACCUCCAGCAUCCUGGCGGGCUGCGUUCAGAUGGUGCUGGGCCAGAUCGAAGACCACAGACGAACCCACCGCCCCAUCAACAUCCCCUUCUUCGACGUGUUCCUCAGGCACCUCUGCCAGGGCUCCAGCGUGGAGGUGAAGGAGGACAAGUGCUGGGAGAAGGUGGAGGUGUCGUCCAACCCGCACCGGGCCAGCAAGCUGACGGACCGCAACCCCAAGACCUACUGGGAGUCCAACGGCAGCACCGGCUCCCACUUCAUCACCCUCCACAUGCACCGCGGUGUUCUUGUGAGGCAGCUGACUCUUCUGGUGGCCAGUGAGGACUCGAGUUACAUGCCAGCCCGGGUGGUGGUGUUUGGGGGUGACAGUGCCAGCUGCAUCAACACGGAGCUCAAUACGGUGAACGUGAUGCCCUCCGCCAGCCGGGUGGUCCUCCUGGAGAACCUGAGCCGUGUCUGGCCCGUCAUCCAGAUCCGCAUAAAGCGCUGCCAGCAGGGCGGCAUUGACACCCGGGUUCGGGGUGUGGAGGUCCUCGGCCCCAAGCCCACUUUCUGGCCGCUGUUCCGAGAGCAGCUGUGUCGCCGUACGUGUCUCUUCUACACCAUUCGGGCCCAAGCCUGGAGCCGGGACAUCGCGGAGGACCGCAAGCGCCUCCUCCAGCUCUGUCCCAGACUGAACAGGGUUUUGCGUCAUGAGCAGAAUUUUGCAGAUCGCUUCCUCCCUGAUGAAGAGGCCGCCCAGGCACUGGGCAAGACCUGCUGGGAGGCCCUGGUCAGCCCCCUGGUGCAAAACAUCACCUGCCCGGAUGCGGAAGGUGUGAGCUCCCUGGGGUGGCUGCUGGAUCAGUACUUGGAGCAGAGGGAGAGCUCUCGGAACCCCCGGAGUCGAGCCGCGUCCUUUGCCUCUCGUGUUCGUCGCCUUUGCCACUUGCUGGUGCACGUGGAGCCUCCUCCCGGACCUUCUCCUGAGCCACCUGCCCGGCCCCCCAGCAAGAGCAGUAAGGGUCGGGACCGGAGCCCUGGGCCUUCCCCCAUUCUUCCAAGCAGCAGCCUGAGGAAUAUAACGCAGUGCUGGCUGAGUGUGGUACAGGAGCAGGUCAGCACGUUCCUGGCUGCAGCCUGGAGGGCCCCGGACUUCGUGCCCCGCUACUGUAAACUCUACGAGCGCCUGCAGAGGGCAGGCUUGGAGCUCUUCGGGCCCCGGGCGGCCUUCACGCUGGCCCUGCGCAGCGGCUUCUCUGGCGCCUUGCUGCAGCAGUCUUUCCUCACUGCUGCCCACAUAAGUGAGCAGUUUGCCCGGCACCUUGACCAGCAGAUCCAGAGUGGCCUGACGGGUGGAACCCCUGGAGUGGAAGUGCUGGGGCGGCUCCAGUGGCACCUGGAGCCCAUCAUGGUCCUCUCUGGCCUGGAGCUCGCCACGACUUUUGAGCACUUCUACCAGCACUACAUGGCGGACCGUCUCCUGAGCUUGGGCUCGAGCUGGCUGGAGGGGGCUGUGCUGGAGCAGAUCGGCCUUUGUUUCCCCAACCGCCUUCCCCAGCAGAUGUUGCGGAGCCUGAGCACCUCCGAGGAGCUGCAGCGCCAGUUCCACGUAUACCAGCUCCAGCAGCUGGACAAGCUGUUCUUGGAGCAGGAGGACGAGGAGGAACAGGGCCUGGAAGAAGAGGAGGAGGAAGAGGAGGCCGAGAAAGAGCUCUUUAUCGAAGAUCCAAGUCCAACAGUCUCUGUACUGGUCCUGUCACCACGCUGCUGGCCGGUCUCCCCUCUCUGCUACCUGUACCAUCCCAGAAAGUGCCUUCCCACAGAAUUCUGUGAUGCCCUUGACCGCUUCUCCAGUUUCUACAACCAGAGUCAGAACCAUCCGGUCUUGGAUGUGGGGCCGCACCGGCGACUGCAGUGGACGUGGCUGGGCCGGGCGGAGCUGCAGUUCGGGGACCAGACGCUGCAUGUGUCCACCGUGCAGAUGUGGCUGCUGCUGCAUUUCAAUCAGACAGAGGAGGUGUCAGUAGAGGCUUUGCUGAAGAGCUCUGGCCUCAGCCCUGAGCUGCUGCUCCAGGCCCUCCUGCCCCUCACCUCAGACAGUGGCCCUUUGACCCUGCAGGAGGGCCAGGACUUCCCACCUAGGGGUGUGCUACGUCUCCGGGAGCCUGGGCUCCAGCCCCGUGGGGAGGCCCUGUGGCUGCUGCCUCCCCAGACAUACCUGAACGUGGAGAAGGAUGAAGGCCGGACCCUGGAGCAGAAGAGGAACCUCCUGAGCUGUCUUCUUGUCCGUAUUCUCAAAGCCCAUGGGGAGAAGGGCCUCCACAUUGACCAGCUGGUUUGUCUGGUUCUGGAGGCCUGGCACAAGGGUCCAAAUCCCCCUGGAAGCCUGGGCCGCACCAUUGCCGGGGGUGUGGCCUGUACCAGCACGGAUGUCCUCUCUUGCAUUCUUCACCUCCUGGGUCAGGGCUAUGUGGAACGGCGGGAUGACUGGCCCCAGAUCCUCACGUACGCCACCCCGGAGCCCUCAGGGCCCUGCCGGGGCCAGGCAGAGAUCCCCUUCUUUGGCAGCCAGACCUCUGAGACCUCCAAGAUGAGCCCAGAAGCCGUGGCUGCCCUGGCUUCCCUCCAGCUGCCUGCGGGCCGCACCAUGAGCCCCCGGGAGGUGGAAGGGUUGAUGGAGCAGACGGUGCGGCAGGUGCAGGAGACGCUGAACCUGGAGCCCGACGUGGCGCAGCACCUCCUGGCUCAUGCCCACUGGGGUGCCGAGCAGCUGCUGCAGAGCUACAGCGAUGACCCGGAGCCGCUGCUGCUGGCAGCCGGGCUGCGCGUGCCGCAGGCCCAGGCCGCGCCCGCACGCCCCGACCACUGCCCCGUGUGCGUCAGCCCCCUCGCGCCCGACCAUGACCUGCCUGCCCUCUGCUGCCAGCACUCCUGCUGCAAGUCUUGCUGGAAUGAGUAUCUGACGACGCGCAUUGAGCAGAACCUUGUGCUGAACUGCACCUGCCCCAUUGCUGAGUGCCCGGCCCAGCCCACGGGGGCCUUCAUCCGUGCCAUUGUCUCCUCGCCAGAGGUCAUCUCCAAGUACGAGAAGGCCCUCCUGCGUGGCUACGUGGAGAGCUGCGCCAACCUGACCUGGUGCACCAACCCCCAGGGCUGUGACCGCAUCCUCUGCCGCCAAGGCCUGGGCUGCGGGACCGCCUGCUCCAAGUGUGGCUGGGCCUCCUGCUUCAGCUGUAGCUUCCCUGAGGCACACUACCCUGCCAGCUGUGGCCACAUGUCUCAGUGGGUAGAUGACGGCGGCUACUACGACGGCAUGAGCGUGGAGGCCCAGAGCAAGCAUCUGACGAAGCUCAUCUCCAAGCGCUGCCCCAGCUGUCAGGCUCCCAUUGAGAAGAACGAGGGGUGUCUGCACAUGACCUGUGCCAAAUGCAAUCAUGGAUUCUGCUGGCGCUGCCUCAAGUCCUGGAAGCCUAAUCACAAAGACUAUUACAACUGCUCCGCCAUGGUAAGCAAAGCCGCGCGCCAGGAGAAGCGCUUCCAGGACUACAACGAGAGGUGUACUUUCCAUCACCAGGCCCGGGACUUUGCUGUGAACUUGCGGAACCGCGUGUCUGCCAUCCACGAGGUGCCCCCACCCAAAUCCUUCACCUUCCUCAGUGAUGCCUGCCGGGGUCUCGAGCAAGCACGAAAGGUGCUGGCCUACGCCUGCGUGUACAGCUUCUACAACCAGGACACAGAGCACAUGGACAUCGUGGAGCAGCAGAUCGAGGCCCUGGAGCUGCACACCAAUGCCCUGCAGAUCCUCCUGGGUCCACGGGGCACACCCCCACCCGCCCUUUGCUUUGAUUAUGACGUGUCCCCACCUCUAGGCUGUGAGCCCUGGUAGAUGUGGGGAGCGCAUGGUAGGCGUCUGUGGGAGGAAGGGAAGAAGGGAGGGAGCCCCGCGCCCUGCCCCCUCUGCAGAGGAGACACUGCUGCACUGCAGAGACCUGGCCUCCUCGCUGCGCCUCCUGCGGGCGGAGCACCUCAACACCGGCCUGGAGCUGCUGCGGCGGAUCCAGGAGCGGCUGCUGGCCAUCCUGCAGCACUCCACCCAGGAUUUCCGGGUUGGUCUCCAGAGUCCAUCCUCCGAGUCCCGGGAGGCGAAAGGACCCAACGUGCCCGGCAGUCAGCCCCAGAGCUCCUCGGGACUGGAGGAGGAGGAGGAGGAGGAAGACGAGGACGAGGUGCCCGAGUGGCAGCAGGACGAGUUUGAGGAGGAGCUGGACAAUGACAGCUUCUCCUACGAUGAGGAGUCUGAGAACCUGGACCGAGAGACGUUCUUCUUCGGCGACGAGGACGACGACGAGGAUGAUGAUGAGGGCUACGACUGAGGGGGCAGGACGCAGAGGCCACCAGAGCCCGGGGUCCCGGGUCAGGUGCGCACCACUGUCCCCGCACACAGUGGCAGGUGCCUGUGGCACCAUCUUCUGUUCAGUGAAUAAACUUUUUUUUUCAUAUA